rnacentral:lncRNA from 1 species
CGUGUAAGAAGUGCCUUUUGCCUCCCACCGUGAUUCUGAGGCCUCCCCAACCAUGUGCAAUUGCACAGGCCCAGGCUGAAGAGGAAAGACAAGAGCCGCCCUGCCCAGAAACGUCCACAUGUGGGUACUGCAUUCCUACCGGUGUGACAGCUUGAGGCCCCCACGCCCGUCACAGUGGCAGGUGUAGCUCCCUGGGGAGUUCACGCAGACCUGCUCACAGCGGCCCUGCAGACACUCGUCCACAUCUGCCAGCCAGAGGGAAGCGGCGGUGAGCCGGGGAGGCCUCUACGCUGUCCCGCCGUGGGAUCACACCGCGAUUGCUCAAACCACACGCAAGGUCCUGCCAUCAGAGGAGAGCUCGAAGCCGCUGUGGCAGGAACAGUGGAAGCUACCCGGCUUGUUGUGGCAGAUCUGGAGGCAGCCCCCGUUCUCCUGGCUGCAUUCGUUGACAUCUGGGAACAAGCACAGGCCUGAAGGGGAGCCCAAGGGUGCACAGCCCCUGGCUACGGAGGAGGCUGCAGGCCAGGAGUGACCUCUGGGUGCCGAGGACAGACAAGGCCAGGCCAGAGCUGGCCACUCCUUAGCAAAGCCCUCCCAGGCCACCUGUGGGGUAGGAUUUGCCAAAGGGGACAGGCUGGCCUGCUGGGCUCUCCACUAUGGGUCUCCACCAGGCCCUGGAGCUAUUCUUCCUCCAGGGUCUUCACUGACACCACAGGUCUACACUGAAGGACGGUCAGAGGUGAAAUCUCCCCCCGGCCUUUCAAUCAGUGGGU